rnacentral:lncRNA from 1 species
UUUUAAAAUAAGGGUAAAAAUAAAAAUAGUGUGAGAUACUAUUUUUAUUGGACUUCUAGAAACAAAAUAUAAAUCAGGAUCGACUCAUGCGGAAAUCGGAGCGAGAAUAGAAGAUUUUGAAUUUUCUUUAUGAAUCGAGGCUGUUAUUUUAGCAGAAAAUGCACAGUGUUAGAAAAUUCCGAAAAUCUGGAAAAAUGUUAGGAUUAAUUUUAUGAAGCUAGAUUUAAAGUUUCAUGAUAU